rnacentral:rRNA from 1 species
AGCCUACCAGCUAGCUCUCAAAGCACAAAACACAACAAUUCAAUGUAAAUAAACCCCUAACGACUAAAAAUCUAAUUAAACAAAACAUUUUUCCCCCUUAGUACGGGCGACAGAAAAGGACAACGAAGAAGCAACAGCAUCAGUACCGCAAGGGAACGCUGAAAGAAAGAUGAAAUAGAUUAGUAAAGCAUGAAAGAGCAGAGAUUAACACUCGUACCUUUUGCAUCAUGAUUUAGCAAGAAAUUACGCCAAGCAAAAAGAAUUGUAGUAUGCGACCCCGAAACCAAGUGAGCUACCCCAGGACAGCCUAACUAGGGCAAACCCGUCUCUGUGGCAAAAGAGUGGGAAGAUCCUUGGGUAGAGGUGACAGACCUACCGAACUCGGUUAUAGCUGGUUGCUCAGGAAAUGAAUAGUAGUUCAGCCUUUUGUUAUCUUCCCCCUCCUCCGAUCUCGCCAAAUAGGCCACAAGUUAAUAAAAGAGUUAGUCAGAGGGGGUACAGCCCCUCUGAAAAUAGACACAACUUUCCCAGUCGGGUUAAGAUCAAAUCAAACUAGGAAUAGUGUUAUGGUGGGCCUAAAAGCAGCCACCCAAGAAGAAAGCGUUAUAGCUCAAACACCCUCCCCCUCCUAUCAUCCCGACCAUAACAUCUUACCCCCCUAACCAUACUGAGCCCUCCCAUACCCCUAUGGAAAAGAUAAUGCUAAUAUGAGUAAUAAGAGGCCCACGCGGCCCUCUCCACGCGCAAGUGUACACCGGAACGAACCAACACCGACCAUUAACGGCCCCACAAAGAGGGAAAUAGGACGCACGUAACUAAACCACUAGAGAAGUACCCAACUAGCACACCGUUAACCUUACACCAGAGCGCCAGCUAGGAAAGACUAAGAGAAUAAGAAGGAACUCGGCA